rnacentral:rRNA from 1 species
CGGGACGGGUGAGUAAUGUCUGGGAAACUGCCCGAUGGAGGGGGAUAACUACUGGAAACGGUAGCUAAUACCGCAUAAUGUCUGCGGACCAAAAGCGGGGGGACCUCCGGGCCUCGCGCCAUCAGAUGAACCCAUAUGGGAUUAGCUAGUAGGUGAGGUAACGGCUUACCUAGACGACGAUCCCUAGCUGGUCUGAGAGGAUGAUCAGCCACACUGGGACUGAGACACGGCCCCAG